rnacentral:rRNA from 1 species
GACGAACGCUGGCGGCGUGCCUAAUACAUGCAAGUCGAACGCAGUGGGGACGGGUGAGUAACACGUGGGUAACCUCCCAUCAGAGGGGAUAACACUUGGAAACAGGUGCUAAACCGAUACUGAUGGAUGGACCCGCGGUGCAUUAGCUAGUUGGUGAGGUAACGGCUCACCAAGGCCCCGAUGCAUAGCCGACCCGAGGGGGUGAUGGGGCACACUGGGAAUUAGAGACGGACCAGAAUCCUACGGGAGGCAGCAGUAGGGAUUCUUCGGCAAUGGACGAAAGUGUGAACGAGCCACGCCGCGUGAGGGAAGAAGGGUUUCGGAUCGUAAAACUCUGUUGUUAGAGAAGCGGUAUCUAACCAGAAAGCCACGGCUAACUACGUGCCAGCAGCCGCGGUAAUAC